GGCUGGAUGGUGGAGUGGUCUAACACGCUAGUCUCAAGUAUCAUCUUGACCCUGAAAAAGGGAUAAAUACUAGUCUCGCAAGAGGCGCGAGUUCGAAUCUCGCUCCAGUCA